rnacentral:rRNA from 1 species
UACGUAGGGUGCGAGCGUUGUCCGGAAUUACUGGGCGUAAAGAGCUCGUAGGUGGUUUGUCGCGUUGUCCGUGAAAACUCACAACUCAAUUGUGGGCGUGCGGGCGAUACGGGCAGACUGGAGUACUGCAGGGGAGACUGGAAUUCCUGGUGUAGCGGUGAAAUGCGCAGAUAUCAGGAAGGAACACCGUAGUGGAAGGCGGCUC